AUCCGACUGAUGAGUCUGAAAUAGGGCAAAACGUGUGUCCUGGAU
rfam:Schistosoma rodhaini strain Burundi genome assembly, scaffold: SROB_scaffold0003013